GGCAAAGACACAGAGAGUGCACCCAGAACACAUACCCCCAGGAGACCUGCAGGGGCCAGGGCUGCCUGACAGACCCCUCCACGCCCCAUGUCCACAGGGUGAUGCCUCAUCACAACCGUAAAGGAAUGUCAAGAGGACAGAAUUCUGAGAACUUGGGGAGGAGGUGCCUCGAUUUUUCUGGAAGAAGGUGGCAGAAAGAGCAAAUCAAGCUAAGAGGGCCUGCUAGCUGUCCUAGGAAACUGAAGCCCAGAGAUGCCAAAUGAUUGAGGUCCGAGGUCAUCCAGCAUCAGAGCCAGGAUUACACAAUCACUUAAAAUGCAGCUCAACUGUGAAAGUGAGGAGGGAGAAUAUAAGUGUGAGUUCAUGACCCGCCAUCCUCAGGGGAAGCCUGCAUCAUGUCACCCCCGCCAGGUGACGCACGUGCACAUGCCUCUGAUCUAUCUACCCUGCCAGCUACAGAAAUCAAGACAAAGCCUGGAAUCUACCAACCUACCAGCAUCUCCAGCAGGAAGGGUGGAGGUAAAGUGGCCCUUCCUCAAGCACAGAGAAACCAAAGCUGAAGGGUGUAUCCUCAGCCCACCAGCAGCAGAGAGGCUCCAGAGAGAACCUCUGUGCCAGGGGCUAUGCCCCCUACACCAGGCCUCCUCUGGCCUCGCUGAGGGGAGGGCUCGCUCAGCCAUAAUCUGUUCUCCCUGACACACCCUCCUUUUAUUUCUCUCACUCCAGAAAGUAACAAGGAUAACCCCCCUCCUCAUAACCCUCCUCCCCUUCAGAGCACAGAGAGCUCCUGGAGAACCAGGGCUGGUCCCUGUUCUUUCCACACUGGGCUCACUCUGCUCUUAACUUUUUCCAGAGGCAAAAACAUCAGGAUUAAAGCCAGGUGGCCACAGUGCUGCA
rnacentral:lncRNA from 1 species